rnacentral:rRNA from 1 species
GACGAACGCUGGCGGCGCGCUUAACACAUGCAAGUCGAGCGAUGAAACUUUAACAGAACCCUUCGGGGCGAAGAUAAAGUGGAUUAGCGGCGGACGGGUGAGUAACACGUGAGUAACCUGCCUUAGACAUUGGGAUAGCCUCGGGAAACCGGGAUUAAUACCAAAUAAAAUCAUAAUGACACAUGUCAUAACGAUCAAAACUCCGGUGGUCUAAGAUGGACUUGCGUCCCAUUAGCUAGUUAGUAGAGUAAAAGCCUACCAAGGCGACGAUGGGUAGCCGGCCUGAGAGGGUGAACGGCCACAUUGGAACUGAGAAACGGUCCAAACUCCUACGGGAGGCAGCAGUGGGGAAUAUUGCACAAUGGAGGGAACUCUGAUGCAGCGACGCCGCGUGAACGAAGAAGGCUUUCGAGUCGUAAAGUUCUUUUAUAUGGGAAGAUAAUGACGGUACCAUAAGAAAAAGCCCCGGCUAACUACGUG